GUCUACGGCCAUACCACCUUGAACACGCCCGAUCUCGUCUGAUCCCAGAAGCUAAGCAGGGUCGGACCUGGUUAGUACUUGGAUGAGAGAAACAGAAUAUGAGGCACGUGUGUGGUCU
ensembl:rRNA 5S_rRNA 5S ribosomal RNA